UCCAAGGUAGCUCAACGGUGGAGCAACCGGCUGUUAACCGGUAGGCUGUGGUUCGUUCGAGCCCCACCCUUGGAGCCA
rnacentral:tRNA from 1 species